GAUGAACGCUGGCGGCGUGCCUAAUACAUGCAAGUCGAGCGAACAGACGAGGGGCUUGCUCCUCUGACGUUAGCGGCGGACGGGUGAGUAACACGUGGAUAACCUACCUAUAAGACUGGGAUAACUUCGGGAAACCGGAGCUAAUACCGGAUAAUAUAUUGAACCGCAUGGUUCAAUAGUGAAAGACGGUUUUGCUGUCACUUAUAGAUGGAUCCGCGCCGCAUUAGCUAGUUGGUAAGGUAACGGCUUACCAAGGCAACGAUGCGUAGCCGACCUGAGAGGGUGAUCGGCCACACUGGAACUGAGACACGGUCCAGACUCCUACGGGAGGCAGCAGUAGGGAAUCUUCCGCAAUGGGCGAAAGCCUGACGGAGCAACGCCGCGUGAGUGAUGAAGGUCUUCGGAUCGUAAAACUCUGUUAUUAGGGAAGAACAAAUGUGUAAGUAACUAUGCACGUCUUGACGGUACCUAAUCAGAAAGCCACGGCUAACUACGG
rnacentral:rRNA from 1 species